GUGUUCGCUUCAGCAGUACAAGUGCUGAAAUUAGAAUGCAAUAGAGAAAAUUAGCGCGGCCCCAGCCAUAGGAUGACAUGCAAAUUUGCGAAGCUAUCCAUAUUUUU
ensembl:snRNA U6 U6 spliceosomal RNA